CCUACACAACUUUAAAAUCACAUUUGUUCUUGCUCCUUUCUCGAUACUCUUGGUAUCUCAAUAUAAACAUAAUACUGAAUUGCUCGGUAACUUAAGCUAUUCCAACUUCUGCAUUGCUAAAACAAAUUCCUAAUACUCCUCUUGUAUUUUAAUUAGAUAUUCUACCCUACGUUAGUGCUGCCAGCAAUGAAAUUUAAUUUACUGAUGAAAAGCUGAAGCUGGUUUAGCUGCUUCUUUGAAGGCGCUGGAAGCAGUUACAAAGGUGCUGGAUAUGACAAAUAAGAAGAGAAUUGAUAUCGAAUUACUUGAGAGGAUGUUGCAAGAGCUAGAAUUACGGACUUCGACUAGGGAUUCUGAAUUGCAU
rnacentral:lncRNA from 1 species